rnacentral:rRNA from 1 species
AAUGAACGCUGGCGGCGUGCUUAAUACAUGCAAGUCGAGCGAACGGACGAGGGGCUUGGCUUUCUGAUGUGAGCGGCGGACGGGGGAGUGACAUGUGGCGGAACGAGUUAUAAGAAGGGGGUAAACUAGGGAAAAGGGAGCUAAAUCCGGAAAAUAUUUUGAAGCAGAAAGCUCAGGAGUGAGAGAUAGUCUUACUGUCACUUAUAGAUGGAUCGGCGGUGCAUUAGCUAGGUGGUAAGGUAACUGCUUACCAAGGCGACGAUCCGUAGCCGGUCUGGGAGGAUGAUCCGCCACACUGGAACUGAGACACGGCCCAGACUCCUACGGGAGGCAGCAGUGCGGAAUCUUGCACAAUGGGCGCAAGCCUGAUGCAGCCAUGCCGCGUGUAUGAUGAAGGUCUUAUGGUUGUAAACUUCUUUUGUUAGGGAAGAACAGUCGUCUGUGAAUAUUGGCUUAUACUGACGGUACCUAAACAAUAAGCACCGGCUAACUACGUG